ACAGUUUGGGAACCACUGAUAUAGACCACGUAGAGCCUCGCACAAGACUGACUGAAAUUAAAAGGAUGUGUGCUGGCAAACGUAUUUUUUGUUCAUGAAUAAUUACAAAAAAAUACUCUGAUCAUAAUCGUAUCCAGAAAAUUGCCAAUUAUUUUUUGUUCAUGAAUAGGUACAAAAAAAUACUCUGAUCAUAAUCGUAUCCAGAAAAUUGCCAAUAUCCGUUAUGAUUCUAAUUUUGUCCAUAUACUCUGCACAUCCCAAAUUCACAGUUUCAACUACUUCAAGAAGUAAUGUUGCAGUCUAGCUCAGUGCUGCCCCCUCUCGUUGAGUAACUCGAGUUGAAGGCAGACCGGGGUACUGCAGGCUGCAAUUAGCAGCUAAAUUAUAACUUCUUCUGUGUGCAAUUUUAAAAUAAUUGUUUCAAAGACUUACAUCUGGUGUAAUAGAAGCAAUUUUUGGUACCAUGAUUGUCUUUGAUUUUGUUCUAUUUUUAUUCACAGAUAGACCACGAAGAUUGCCAUUUUCCUAUUCGCCAUUUUCCUAUUCGCGGUCGGCCUUGAACUUCAAUGAAAGGGGGGAGUCCUUCUCCCCUGUUUAAAGCAGUGUGCGGAAGGGGUGGGGCUUUGUCUGACAGCUUCCAUUUGCAAGGGUGGAGACUACUUCCUAUUUGGCACAACAAAACUCUCAAUUGUUAACACGUUUGGGCCCAGAAGUAAAUAAGGAAGCUGACCAAAUUUCACAAUAAUUUACUUCUGGGAAACCUGAGAUCACCAAAAGGUGCAAGUUGCUCCAAAACAAUCCUCACCCAAGCACAUACAGGCACAUUAAACAACAAAGGGAACUUUUAACCAUGAAUACACAUAAAUAGACCAAAUUGUAAAUGUUAAACAUGAUUGCCUACAUUUUAUUUUAUUUUAAUUUUACCUUUAUUUAACCAGGCAAGUCAGUUAAGAACAUAUUCUUAUUUUCAAUGACGGCCUGGGAACAGUGGGUUAACUACCUGUUCAGGGGCAGAACGACAGAUUUGUACCUUGUCAGCUCGGGGGUUUGAACUCGCAACCUUAGGCUACGCUGCCGCCCCAGAGGAUAAUGCGAACUUUAUUACGACAAGACAAAUCAUCAUCCAGUUGGACACCUGAUGAACUUCCACAAACUUCAGGGUCUGGGGUGAGAACUUGCUUUUGUAGUCUACUCAAUCUGAUUCCCCGCAAGAAAUGUAGAAUUCUGAGCAAUCUUCAUCCAGUUGGACAACUGAUGAGAUCACCAACCAGGAUCUUCAGGGUCUGAGAUGAUAAAUUCAGCUACUGUGCUGCUGGAGCCGACUUAACCGGAUUCCCCUUUAAAACAGGAACCUUAUGUUCCUGGACCUUACUGUGUCUCUUUGCUCCACCAUUACGCCUGAUGUCAGCAUUCAGGUGGCAAGUGGCUCGGCAGCAUACUGUAAAGCAUUAUGGGAAACUGGAGGAGUUUGUGACUUUGGUGACAGAGGUGGUUCCAGAGCUGCUGAGUUCCAGGCAGAGGACCCAACUCCUCCUGGGUCUGAGAGCAAGGGUUUGUGAGGUGGAAAUGCAAAGGAUUCUGAUAAACUGGUUCUGGAGUUGUGACUCAGGGAGAGCACCGGUGACCUUGUCCAUCCAGCUUCACCUGGACAAAAUCCAUUUGUUAACAGAAUACGCUAUACACAAGAAGAGUAAUGAUGAUGAGUUAGAGGCUACAGUCUAACUUUGUGGAGUUGGUCCGAACUCUGCUGGGAGACCCUUCUGAGAGGGAGCACUUCUUCAGGAGGUAUUCCCAGUACAUUACGGCCCUCGGCAUGACACAGCACUGCAGGUUAUUUCUCUUACUACACUGCAGAUACCAUCCUGUCCCUCCCUCCAACAAUAAGAGUUGUCAUUAGCUCGGAGCAGGCCAGCUCUGACAAAAUGAGGUCAUGCUCAGAUGGAGAUAAAUGCUUCAAGAAUGGGACAGAUAGAGAGGACAAUCUAAUGGGGUCAGAGAGGAGGAAAAAGAUAAGGCAGACUGAAGAGGACUUCUGGUCCGUGUAUCCCAGUACCCAGCAACGGCAAGGAAAUUCAAGUAAUUACGAAAAUAUUUGACUUCAUUUUACAGCAUUAUUAUCACUGUUAUUUAUCUGGUAUUUAAAAUGAAAUUACUUAACAAUUGGUACCAUAGAAAAGCGGCCAGUUUUUACCUGCACAGAGACUAUAUUAAAUGGAACUCAAUUUUUCUAGAAAAAUACCAUGAUUACUUAAGAUUCGUAAAUUUUAGUUUAAUAUAAAAUUACAAGUGAAGGAAACAUACUUUACACACACACAACACCAAGUCUGCAUCUACACAUUCAGCCCAAUUCAGAUUUUUUCCCCCCCACGAAUUGGUCUUUUUUUUACC